CUUCCGACGACAUCAAAACGGCGUCGGAGAAGAAUAUUAUUACAGUUUCCAUUCACUUCUCCAGCAGAGUUUCACUUCAACUCUGAUUUUCAUCGGUUCAAUUAAGGGCAAAAUCUGGUAAGAAGCAAUCAUUAGAAGAUAUGCUGGUGGCAAAAUUGCACAUUCUGCAAUGAGGUUGCCUUAAAUAAGAGAUAAAUGCAAAGCAUCAACAAACAAACAGACUACAGCAAAACAACGAACACUCAAGUAGUUUUCUACAAACGAAUUUGCAAGUUAUACUCGAAUAAUUCCAAGCCAAUGUGCAAAUUGUGGAUGGAACUGUGAAAAGGUAAGAGUUAGCUCAUAUUAGUGUAAAGUUCACGAUUUGUUCUUAUGGUUUUGUCAAAGCUACAAAUUUUAUUCUCCCAUUUUAAAACUCACAGAAAUACCCCCUUGUUUUCGAAACCUGUAACAUCAGUGGUCAUUUUAUUUAUACUAGUGUGAUUAAUCCCGCACGUUGUGGCAGGUGGGAACUCGAUUGGUUUCAA